rnacentral:rRNA from 1 species
CAAUAGCGUAUAUUAACGUUGUUGCAGUUAAAAAGCUCGUAGUUGGAUUUCUGGUCGGAAGCUCCUGUCCUCUGAUGAGCGUACAAGUGCGUCCUACCAUCCUUCUGUUAACCUUUAAGGCUUUCGCGGCUUUCUAGGGGCUCAGAUAUUUUACCUUGAGAAAAUUAGAGUGUUUCAGGCAGGCUAGCGCCGGAAUACAUUAGCAUGGAAUAAUGGAAUAGGACUUUUGCCUCUUCUGUUGGUCAUGAGGCUCGAGUAAUGAUUAAUAGGGAUAGUUGGGGGCAUUAGUACUUAACUGUCAGAGGUGAAAUUCUCGGAUUUGUUAAAGACUAACUUAUGCGAAAGCAUUUGCCAAGGAUGUUUUCAUUA